rnacentral:tRNA from 1 species
GCGUUGAUGGUGUAAUGGUUAGCAUUGCUGCCUUCCAAUCAGUAGAUCUGGGUUCGAUUCCCGGUCAACGCA